GUGAAAUUGUUGAAAGGGAAACGCUUGAAGCCAGUCAAGGUUUUCUCGAGAUCAGGAGAGCGGAUCGGGCGGGUCUGGCUCUGCGAUCGGCCCCUUUGGGCCGACGCGGGGCUGGGCUCUCUCUGCCAGGCUCGCUCUCUGCACGUCUCUGGUUAACAAGUCAACAUCAGUUUGGCCGUUUGGGAGAAAGAUAACAGGAUUUGGUUGGGCCUUGAGCCGGGCUUCGGCCUCUCAGGGUCCAAGCCUGCUUAUCACGAUACCAAAUGCUAGACUGAGGACGGCAGUACAGGGCAUCGUCUUGGACCAGCCAGUCUUGCGGUGGGGCCAGGGGCAAACAGCCUGGCUGAUUGCUCCGGCCUUCCACCCGAGUUCUGGCCAAUCCUCGCUGGCUUCUGACUCUGGAUGUUGACGAAAUGGCUUUAAACGACCCGUCUUGAAACACGGACCAAGGAGUCUAACAUGGAUGCAAGUAUUUGGGUGGCAAACCCAUCUGCGCAAUGAAAGUGAUAUUCCCCAAGGGUAGGACGCAGCGUGGGCGGGGGGC
rnacentral:rRNA from 1 species